AGGUAGCGCCUCGUGAAUUCAUCUCCGGGGGUAGAGCACUGUUUCGGCAAGGGGGUCAUCCCGACUUACCAACCCGAUGCAAACUGCGAAUACCGGAGAAUGUUAUCACGGGAGACACACGGCGGGUGCUAACGUCCGUCGUGAAGAGGGAAACAACCCAGACCGCCAGCUAAGGUCCCAAAGUCAUGGUUAAGUGGGAAACGAUGUGGGAAGGCCCAGACAGCCAGGAUGUUGGCUUAGAAGCAGCCAUCAUUUAAAGAAAGCGUAAUAGCUCACUGGUCGAGUCGGCCUGCGCGGAAGAUGUAACGGGGCUAAACCAUGCACCGAAGCUGCGGCAGCGACGCUGAUGCGUUGUUGGGUAGGGGAGCGUUCUGUAAGCCUGCGAAGGUGUGCUGUGAGGCAUGCUGGAGGUAUCAGAAGUGCGAAUGCUGACAUAAGUAACGAUAAAGCGGGUGAAAAGCCCGCUCGCCGGAAGACCAAGGGUUCCUGUCCAACGUUAAUCGGGGCAGGGUGAGUCGACCCCUAAGGCGAGGCCGAAAGGCGUAGUCGAUGGGAAACAGGUUAAUAUUCCUGUACUUGGUGUUACUGCGAAGGGGGACGGAGAAGGCUAUGUUGGCCGGGCGACGGUUGUCCCGGUUUAAGCGUGUAGGCUGGUUUUCCAGGCAAAUCCGGAAAAUCAAGGCUGAGGCGUGAUGACGAGGCACUACGGUGCUGAAGCAACAAAUGCCCUGCUUCCAGGAAAAGCCUCUAAGCAUCAGGUAACAUCAAAUCGUACCCCAAACCGACACAGGUGGUCAGGUAGAGAAUACCAAGGCGCUUGAGAGAACUCGGGUGAAGGAACUAGGCAAAAUGGUGCCGUAACUUCGGGAGAAGGCACGCUGAUAUGUAGGUGAAGUGAUUUACUCAUGGAGCUGAAAUCAGUCGAAGAUACCAGCUGGCUGCAACUGUUUAUUAAAAACACAGCACUGUGCAAACACGAAAGUGGACGUAUACGGUGUGACGCCUGCCCGGUGCCGGAAGGUUAAUUGAUGGGGUUAGCGCAAGCGAAGCUCUUGAUCGAAGCCCCGGUAAACGGCGGCCGUAACUAUAACGGUCCUAAGGUAGCGAAAUUCCUUGUCGGGUAAGUUCCGACCUGCACGAAUGGCGUAAUGAUGGCCAGGCUGUCUCCACCCGAGACUCAGUGAAAUUGAACUCGCUGUGAAGAUGCAGUGUACCCGCGGCAAGACGGAAAGACCCCGUGAACCUUUACUAUAGCUUGACACUGAACAUUGAGCCUUGAUGUGUAGGAUAGGUGGGAGGCUUUGAAGUGUGGACGCCAGUCUGCAUGGAGCCGACCUUGAAAUACCACCCUUUAAUGUUUGAUGUUCUAACGUGGACCCGUAAUCCGGGUUGCGGACAGUGUCUGGUGGGUAGUUUGACUGGGGCRKUCWGUGGUGAACUUGCAGCCCGGUAUAUCAUUGAUAACUACUACGGUGGUCGUACCGAUAACCUGAGUGAACAGGAACGUCAGCAAAUCAGCAUGCUGGCCACCAUUGCCUCAGGUAUUGCGGGCGGGCUUGC
rnacentral:rRNA from 1 species